UACGUAGGGUGCAAGCGUUGUCCGGAAUUAUUGGGCGUAAAGAGCUCGUAGGCGGUUCGUCACGUCGGCUGUGAAAUCCCGAGGCUCAACCUCGGGUCUGCAGUCGAUACGGGCGGACUGGAGUACUGCAGGGGAGACUGGAAUUCCUGGUGUAGCGGUGAAAUGCGCAGAUAUCGGGAAGAACACCCGUGGCGAAGGCGGCACUCUGGGACGGUACGGACGCUGAGACGCGAAAGCGUGGGAGCGAACAGG
rnacentral:rRNA from 1 species